AUUGAACGCUGGCGGCAGGCUUAACACAUGCAAGUCGAACGAGUGGCGGACGGGUGAGUAAUGCUUGGGAAUCUAGCUGAUGGAGGGGGAUAACUACGGGAAACUGUAGCUAAUACCGCGUACCAUAGGAUGAGCCCAAAUGGGAUUAGGUAGUUGGUGAGGUAAAGGCUCACCAAGCCGACGAUCCCUAGCUGGUCUGAGAGGAUGACCAGCCACACUGGAACUGAGACACGGUCCAGACUCCUACGGGAGGCAGCAGUGGGGAAUAUUGCGCAAUGGGGGCAAGCCUGACGCAGCCAUGCCGCGUGAAUGAAGAAGGCCUUCGGGUUGUAAAGUACUUUCGGCAGGGAGGCGUUACCCGCAGAAGAAGCACCGGCUAACUCCGUGCCAGCAGCCGCGGUAAUAC
rnacentral:rRNA from 1 species